AUUGUUUCUUUCUCUUGGCUAGAUCAAGUGUCGUAUCUGUUCAUACCAGUUUCAUAUCUGAACUUUUUCUAUCCAAGGAUAAUAAAAGUAUUUUUGGAGCAGGGAGAUGGAAUAGGGACUUGGCUCUGUUCACUCUGCUCAUCGACAGGGUAUUAUAGUACUUCCGAGAAUGGAGCACUAAGA